AAGACGGUCUUGCUGUCACUUAUAGAUGGAUCCGCGCUGCAUUAGCUAGUUGGUAAGGUAACGGCUUACCAAGGCAACGAUGCAUAGCCGACCUGAGAGGGUGAUCGGCCACACUGGAACUGAGACACGGUCCAGACUCCUACGGGAGGCAGCAGUAGGGAAUCUUCCGCAAUGGGCGAAAGCCUGACGGAGCAACGCCGCGUGAGUGAUGAAGGUCUUCGGAUCGUAAAACUCUGUUAUUAGGGAAGAACAUAUGUGUAAGUAACUGUGCACAUCUUGACGGUACCUAAUCAGAAAGCCACGGCUAACUACGUGCCAGCAGCCGCGGUAAUACGUAGGUGGCAAGCGUUAUCCGGAAUUAUUGGGCGUAAAGCGCGCGUAGGCGGUUUUUUAAGUCUGAUGUGAAAGCCCACGGCUCAACCGUGGAGGGUCAUUGGAAACUGGAAAACUUGAGUGCAGAAGAGGAAAGUGGAAUUCCAUGUGUAGCGGUGAAAUGCGCAGAGAUAUGGAGGAACACCAGUGGCGAAGGCGACUUUCUGGUCUGUAACUGACGCUGAUGUGCGAAAGCGUGGGGAUCAAACAGGAUUAGAUACCCUGGUAGUCCACGCCGUAAACGAUGAGUGCUAAGUGUUAGGGGGUUUCCGCCCCUUAGUGCUGCAGCUAACGCAUUAAGCACUCCGCCUGGGGAGUACGACCGCAAGGUUGAAACUCAAAGGAAUUGACGGGGACCCGCACAAGCGGUGGAGCAUGUGGUUUAAUUCGAAGCAACGCGAAGAACCUUACCAAAUCUUGACAUCCUUUGACAACUCUAGAGAUAGAGCCUUCCCCUUCGGGGGACAAAGUGACAGGUGGUGCAUGGUUGUCGUCAGCUCGUGUCGUGAGAUGUUGGGUUAAGUCCCGCAACGAGCGCAACCCUUAAGCUUAGUUGCCAUCAUUAAGUUGGGCACUCUAAGUUGACUGCCGGUGACAAACCGGAGGAAGGUGGGGAUGACGUCAAAUCAUCAUGCCCCUUAUGAUUUGGGCUACACACGUGCUACAAUGGACAAUACAAAGGGCAGCGAAACCGCGAGGUCAAGCAAAUCCCAUAAAGUUGUUCUCAGUUCGGAUUGUAGUCUGCAACUCGACUACAUGAAGCUGGAAUCGCUAGUAAUCGUAGAUCAGCAUGCUACGGUGAAUACGUUCCCGGGUCUUGUACACACCGCCCGUCACACCACGAGAGUUUGUAACACCCGAAGCCGGUGGAGUAACCUUUUAGGAGCUAGCCGUCGAAGGUGGGACAAAUGAUUGGGGUGAAGUCGUAACAAGGUAGCCGUAUCGGAAGGUGCGGCU
rnacentral:rRNA from 1 species